rnacentral:rRNA from 1 species
CUACGGGCGGCAGCAGUCACGGAAACUUUACAAUGCGCGAAAGCGUGAUAAGGGUAUCCCAAGUGCUUUGCUUAUUGUAAGGCUUUUGCCAAGUGUAAAGAGCUUGGCGAAUAAGUGGUGGGUAAGACUGGUGCCAGCCGCCGCGGUAACACCAGCGCCACAAGUGGUAACCACGUUUAUUGGGCCUAAAGCGUUCGUAGCCGGUUUGAUAAGUUUCUUGUGAAAUUGUUUGGCCUAACCAAACAACGUGCAAGAAAUACUGUCUAACUUGGGACCGGGAGGAGUUAGAGGUAUUCCAUGGGGAGCGGUAAAAUGCUAUAAUCCUUGGAGGACCACCAAUGGCGAAGGCUUCUAACUAGAACGGAUCCGACGGUCAGGAACGAAGGCUAGGGGAGCAAAACGGAUUAGAUACCCCCGUAGUC